UACAGAGGGUGCGAGCGUUAAUCGGAAUUACUGGGCGUAAAGCGUGCGUAGACGGUUACAUAAGUCAGAUGUGAAAGCCCCGGGCUCAACCUGGGAAUUGCAUUUGAGACUGUGUAGCUAGGGUGCGGAAGAGGGAAGCGGAAUUUCCGGUGUAGCGGUGAAAUGCGUAGAUAUCGGAAGGAACACCAGUGGCGAAAGCGGCUUCCUGGUCCAGCACCGACGUUCAGGCACGAAAGCGUGGGGAGCAAACAGG
rnacentral:rRNA from 1 species